rnacentral:rRNA from 1 species
GAUGAACGCUGGCGGCGUGCCUAAUACAUGCAAGUCGAGCGAACGGACGAGAAGCUUGCUUCUCUGAUGUUAGCGGCGGACGGGUGAGUAACACGUGGAUAACCUACCUAUAAGACUGGGAUAACUUCGGGAAACCGGUGCUAAUACCGGAUAAUAUUUUGAACCGCAUGGUUCAAAAGUGAAAGACGGUCUUGCUGUCACUUAUAGAUGGAUCCGCGCUGCAUUAGCUAGUUGGUAAGGUAACGGCUUACCAAGGCAACGAUGCAUAGCCGACCUGAGAGGGUGAUCGGCCACACUGGAACUGAGACACGGUCCAGACUCCUACGGGAGGCAGCAGUAGGGAAUCUGCCGCAAUGGGCGAAAGCCUGACGGGGCAACGCCGCGUGAGUGAUGAAGGUCUUCGGAUCGUAAAACUCUGUUAUUAGGGAAGAACAUAUGUGUAAGUAACUGUGCACAUCUUGACGGUACCGAAUCAGAAAGCCACGGCUAACUACGU